UAUGGCCAUAUCACAUUGAAACACCGGUUCUUUUAAGAUCACCAUAGUUAAGCAAUGUCGAACUUAUCAGUACCUAGAUGGGUGACUACUUGGAAAUACAAGGUGCUGCAAGC